rnacentral:ncRNA from 1 species
UGUCGGUGUAAGUCCGGUCACGGUAGUUGCCAGUGAGCGUGUAGCUAAACUCGGUGCGUUGUAUUAAUACAGGGUGCUAAGCGAGUGGAUAAAGUAACCCGAUGAGGGAGCGAGCAAUCAUGCAGACCGUAACAUA